GACGAACGCUGGCGGCGUGCUUAACACAUGCAAGUCGAACGGAAAGGCCCUGCUUGCAGGGUACUCGAGUGGCGAACGGGUGAGUAACACGUGGGUGAUCUGCCCUGCACUUCGGGAUAAGCCUGGGAAACUGGGUCUAAUACCGGAUAGGAGCCAUUUUUAGUGUGAUGGUUGGAAAGUUUUUUGGGUGUGGGAUGAGCUCGCGGCCUAUCAGCUUGUUGGUGGGGUAAUGGCCUACCAAGGCGGCGACGGGUAGCCGGCCUGAGAGGGUGGACGGCCACAUUGGGACUGAGAUACGGCCCAGACUCCUACGGGAGGCAGCGGUGGGGAAUAUUGCACAAUGGGCGCAAGCCUGAUGCAGCGACGCCGCGUGGGGGAUGACGGCCUUCGGGUUGUAAACUCCUUUCGCUAGGGACGAAGCUUUUUGUGACGGUACCUAGAUAAGAAGCACCGGCUAACUACGUG
rnacentral:rRNA from 1 species